CAAUAGCGUAUAUUAAAGUUGCUGCAGUUAAAAAGCUCGUAGUUGCAUUUCCGAGGCAAGGGAUUAGUCCGACCUUUGGUGGGUAUUUAAUCCUCUUGCCUCGUCCUUGAGUGGUGCUUCUUGGUAUUAAGUUAUCGAGGAGAUAGCCGCUCAUCGUUUACUGUGAGAAAAUUAGAGUGUUCAAAGCAGGCUUGCCGUUGAAUAUAUUAGCAUGGAAUAAUAAGAUAGGACCUCGGUACUAUUUUGUUGGUUUGAGAACCAAGGUAAUGAUGAAUAGGGACAGUUGGGGGUAUUCGUAUUCAGUUGUCAGAGGUGAAAUUCUUAGAUUUACGGAAGACGAACUACUGCGAAAGCAUUUACCAAGGAUGUUUUCAUUAA
rnacentral:rRNA from 1 species